UCCUACGGGACGCAGCAGUGAGGAAUAUUGGUCAAUGGUCGGGAGACUGGACCAGCCAAGCCGCGUGAGGGAUGAAGGUACAGAGUAUCGUAAACCUCUUUUGUCAGGGAACAAAGGCGGGGACGUGUCCCCGGAUGAGUGUACCUGAAGAAAAAGCAUCGGCUAACUCCGUGCCAGCAGCCGCGGUAAUACGGAGGAUGCGAGCGUUAUCCGGAUUUAUUGGGUUUAAAGGGUGCGCAGGCGGUCUGUUAAGUCAGCGGUCAAAGCCCGGGGCUCAACCCCGGCCCGCUGUUGAAACUGGCAGG
rnacentral:rRNA from 1 species